ACNGAAGGGAGCUUGCUCCCGGAUGUUAGCGGCGGACGGGUGAGUAACACGUGGGUAACCUGCCUGUAAGACUGGGAUAACUCCGGGAAACCGGAGCUAAUACCGGAUAGUUCCUUGAACCGCAUGGUUCAAGGAUGAAAGACGGUUUCGGCUGUCACUUACAGAUGGACCCGCGGCGCAUUAGCUAGUUGGUGAGGUAACGGCUCACCAAGGCGACGAUGCGUAGCCGACCUGAGAGGGUGAUCGGCCACACUGGGACUGAGACACGGCCCAGACUCCUACGGGAGGCAGCAGUAGGGAAUCUUCCGCAAUGGACGAAAGUCUGACGGAGCAACGCCGCGUGAGUGAUGAAGGUUUUCGGAUCGUAAAGCUCUGUUGUUAGGGAAGAACAAGUGCAAGAGUAACUGCUUGCACCUUGACGGUACCUAACCAGAAAGCCACGGCUAACUACGUGCCAGCAGCCGCGGUAAUACGUAGGUGGCAAGCGUUGUCCGGAAUUAUUGGGCGUAAAGGGCUCGCAGGCGGUUUCUUAAGUCUGAUGUGAAAGCCCCCGGCUCAACCGGGGAGGGUCAUUGGAAACUGGGAAACUUGAGUGCAGAAGAGGAGAGUGGAAUUCCACGUGUAGCGGUGAAAUGCGUAGAGAUGUGGAGGAACACCAGUGGCGAAGGCGACUCUCUGGUCUGUAACUGACGCUGAGGAGCGAAAGCGUGGGGAGCGAACAGGAUUAGAUACCCUGGUAGUCCACGCCGUAAACGAUGAGUGCUAAGUGUUAGGGGGUUUCCGCCCCUUAGUGCUGCAGCUAACGCAUUAAGCACUCCGCCUGGGGAGUACGGUCGCAAGACUGAAACUCAAAGGAAUUGACGGGGGCCCGCACAAGCGGUGGAGCAUGUGGUUUAAUUCGAAGCAACGCGAAGAACCUUACCAGGUCUUGACAUCCUCUGACAACCCUAGAGAUAGGGCUUUCCCUUCGGGGACAGAGUGACAGGUGGUGCAUGGUUGUCGUCAGCUCGUGUCGUGAGAUGUUGGGUUAAGUCCCGCAACGAGCGCAACCCUUGAUCUUAGUUGCCAGCAUUCAGUUGGGCACUCUAAGGUGACUGCCGGUGACAAACCGGAGGAAGGUGGGGAUGACGUCAAAUCAUCAUGCCCCUUAUGACCUGGGCUACCMC
rnacentral:rRNA from 1 species